GGGGCUAUAGCGCAGUUGGUAGCGCAUCUGCUUUGCAAGCAGAGGGUCGCCGGUUCGAGUCCGGCUAGCUCCACCA
rnacentral:tRNA from 1 species